rnacentral:pre_miRNA from 1 species
ACAAGGCUCUGACCUAUGAGUUGACAGCCAGUGCUCUGGUCUCCCCUCUGGCUGCCAAUUCCAUAGGUCACAGGUAUGU